CACGUAGGGGGCAAGCGUUGUCCGGAAUCAUUGGGCGUAAAGAGCUCGUAGGCGGCUCAGCAAGUCGGGUGUGAAACCUCCAGGCUCAACCUGGAGACGCCACCCGAUACUGCUGUGGCUAGAGUCCAGUAGGGGAGUGUGGAAUUCCCAGUGUAGCGGUGAAAUGCGUAGAUAUUGGGAGGAACACCGGUGGCGAAGGCGGCUACCUGGACCGGUACUGACGCUGAGGCGCGAAAGCUAGGGUAGCAAACAGG
rnacentral:rRNA from 1 species